UUAGUGUUGAAAUUAAUGUUUUUUUUAUCCUGUGAAAUGCAACAAGGCAAUUGUCAUCAAAGUCAAAAGGAACAUCUUGAUUUAGUAAAUUAGUUAAAGGCUUAGCUAUUUUGGAAAAAUCCUUGAUGAAUCUUCUGUAGAAGCCCGCAUGUCUCAAAAAGCUUCGCACUCCUUUGAUUGAUAAAGGUGGUGGCAUUUCUUUAAUGAUCUCAAUUUUUG
rnacentral:misc_RNA from 1 species